UACGUAGGCAGCAAGCGUUGUUCGGAGUUACUGGGCGUAAAGAGUGCGUAGGCGGCUUCGUAAGUUUGGUGUGAAAUCUCCCGGCUUAACUGGGAGGGUGCGCCGAAAACUGCGGGGCUGGAGUGUGGGAGAGGCAAGCGGAAUUCCUGGUGUAGCGGUGAAAUGCGUAGAUAUCAGGAGGAACACCGGUGGUGUAGACGGCUUGCUGGACCAUGACUGACGCUGAGGCACGAAAGCGUGGGGAGCAAACAGG
rnacentral:rRNA from 1 species